ensembl:ncRNA T27E4.20 ncRNA
AUUUUAUCACCUGGAUUCUUGAAUCAUUAACAACAACCCCCUCAAUUUGCAAUAGGAUCCAAAAAAUUAUAACGAAUCGACAGAAUAUCAAACACAUCGUCGUAAUUUGAAAAAUACAAAAUAAUCACAAACACGUGUUUUCCAUCUCCCUCGUCACAUUUUUACGUUUUUUUUCAAUGAUACUAGUUCAGUUCACG